rnacentral:tRNA from 1 species
UGAGCCAUUAGCUCAGCUGGUAGAGCAUCUGACUUUUAAUCAGAGGGUCAGAGGUUCGAAUACUCUAUGGCUCAU